rnacentral:rRNA from 1 species
UACGUAGGUGGCAAGCGUUAUCCGGAAUUACUGGGUGUAAAGGGCGCGCAGGCGGCCCUGCAAGUCGGAUGUGAAAGAUCAAGGCUCAACCUUGACAGGCCAUUCGAUACUGCGGGGCUUGAGGUUGGGAGAGGGACGCGGAAUUCCCGGUGUAGUGGUGGAAUGCGUAGAUAUCGGGAGGAACACCAGUGGCGCAAGCGGCGUCCUGGCCCACACCUGACGCUGAGGUGCGAAAGCGUGGGUAGCAAACAGGAUUAGAUACCCCGGUAGU